UUUCUGUUUUAGCUGAAUUUGAUUUCUUUGAGCUAAUAGGAUUGGUUUCACUUUGUCAGCAGUCUCAAUUGGUUUCUUGCUGAUCAUUUCAUGAUGGGAUAUAU